AACGAACGCUGGCGGCAUGCCUAACACAUGCAAGUCGAACGAGACCUUCGGGUCUAGUGGCGCACGGGUGCGUAACGCGUGGGAACCUGCCCUUAGGUUCGGAAUAACUCCCCGAAAGGGGUGCUAAUACCGGAUAAUGUCUUCGGACCAAAGAUUUAUCGCCUUUGGAUGGGCCCGCUUUGGAUUAGCUAGUUGGUAGGGUAAAAGCCUACCAAGGCGACGAUCCAUAGCUGGUCUGAGAGGAUGAUCAGCCACACUGGGACUGAGACACGGCCCAGACUCCUACGGGAGGCAGCAGUGGGGAAUAUUGGACAAUGGGCGAAAGCCUGAUCCAGCAAUGCCGCGUGAGUGAUGAAGGCCUUAGGGUUGUAAAGCUCUUUUACCCGGGAUGAUAAUGACAGUACCGGGAGAAUAAGCUCCGGCUAACUCCGUG
rnacentral:rRNA from 1 species